rnacentral:rRNA from 1 species
CCGGNUCUUCCGCGCCGUAGCUAACGCAUUAAAUGCCCCGCCUGGGGAGUACGGCCGCAAGGCUAAAACUCAAAGGAAUUGACGGGGGCCCGCACAAGCGGCGGAGCAUGCGGAUUAAUUCGAUGCAACGCGAAGAACCUUACCAAGGCUUGACAUGCGCCGGUCUGCUCCGGAGACGGGGUUUCCUCCUUUGUGGGGGCUGGUUCACAGGUGGUGCAUGGUUGUCGUCAGCUCGUGUCGUGAGACGUUGGGUUAAGUCCCGCAACGAGCGCAACCCUUGUCUCGUGUUGCCAGCACGUUGUGGUGGGGACUCGCGGGAGACUGCCGGGGUCAACUCGGAGGAAGGUGGGGAUGACGUCAAAUCAUCAUGCCCCUUAUGUCUUGGGCUUCACGCAUGCUACAAUGGCCG